UGGGGAAUAUUCCACAAUGGACGAAAGUCUGAUGGAGCGACGCCGCGUGAGGGAUGAAGGUUUUCGGAUCGUAAACCUCUGUUAUAAGGAAAGAACGUUACAUAUGCUAAUACCAUGUGUAAAUGACGGUACCUUAUGAGGAAGCCACGGCUAACUACGUGCCAGCAGCCGCGGUAAUACGUAGGUGGCAAGCGUUGUCCGGAAUUAUUGGGCGUAAAGCGCGCGCAGGUGGUUAUAUAAGUCUGAUUUUAAAGUUCGGGGCUCAACCCCGUGAUGGAUUGGAAACUGUAUGACUUGAGUACAGUAGAGGUAAGCGGAAUUCCCAGUGUAGCGGUGAAAUGCGUAGAUAUUGGGAGGAACACCAGUGGCGAAGGCGGCUUACUGGGCUGUAACUGACACU
rnacentral:rRNA from 1 species